rnacentral:lncRNA from 1 species
CACUCCUGGCCAGAUCUCCAACAACAAAAUCUUGGCUGUUUCAGUCCAUUCAGGUUGCAGACAGGGUAGCUUAUUACCAGCAGACCCUCACUGCAUGCAGUGCUAGAGGCUAGUAGUCCCGGGCACCAGCAGAUCUGGUGUCUGAUGAAGGUAACUUCCUGGUACACAGACAGUACCUUCUGCUGUGUCACCAUGAGGAGGGGCGAGGAGCUCUCUGGGGUCUGGAUCUGUUUUGUAAGGGCAGUUAUCACACUCACAAGACUCUACCUCCAUGUCCAAGUCACCUCCCAAAGGUCCCAUCACCUAACAUCGUCACUCUGGGAUUAGGAUUGGAGACACAAAUUCCACGGUGAUGGCCCAGAUGACCAGCUGGCUUGUGUCCAGUGGUGUGCUGGUAAGCAGACUCUGCAGGAGAAGGUCAGCAGUGUUAACCAGUGUCACACCCUCUUGUGCUUGGAGGAUAUUUGUUGACCAAAAGUUCAAAGCUCAUGGACAGAAAAGCUAGUGGACUACAUGGCCGGAGAACUCAGCCAAGGUGCUCCAAGGACAGGACAAAGUCCACAGACACAGCUGAGUUUCUGGGUGUGGAUUUCACUUCCUCUUGGUAACUUGUUCCUGGCAGGAAAAGAAAACUGCAAGGAUAGAAAAUAUUGUGCUACUGCUGGGGAUCUUCCCCAAAGAAUUAAAAGAAUCAUACCACAGUGAUAAUAUGUGCACCUCUGUUCAUAGCAGCACUGUUUGUGAUAGCUAAAGCUUGGAAACAGACCAAAUGCCCAACAACUGGAGAGUGGAUGAAGAAAAUGUGGUUUUUUAAUAAAAUGGAGUACUACUC